UACGAAGGGGGCUAGCGUUGCUCGGAAUCACUGGGCGUAAAGGGUGCGUAGGCGGGUUUUUAAGUCAGGGGUGAAAUCCUGGAGCUCAACUCCAGAACUGCCUUUGAUACUGAGAAUCUUGAGUACGGGAGAGGUGAGUGGAACUGCGAGUGUAGAGGUGAAAUUCGUAGAUAUUCGCAAGAACACCAGUGGCGAAGGCGGCUCACUGGCCCGUAACUGACGCUGAGGCACGAAAGUGUGGGGAUCAAACAGG
rnacentral:rRNA from 1 species